rnacentral:misc_RNA from 1 species
CACGGCCCUAUAUUCGCUCGGCCCCCGCCCCAUUGUCGGUGCCCGUGUUUUUUGUUUGAUCUUUGACCGCCCCCCCCUCUUCCCUCCUCUUUCCCCUCUCUCUAUCCCUCUCCCUCUCCAGUAAAUAAUGGAAGGCAUUUCAGAGGAGCAGCGCCAACGUGAAGAGGCCGAGAUUCGUGAGCGCGACCGCAAGCGCCAGCAAGAGAAGGAGGAACACGAGCGCCGCCUCGCGGAGGAAAAGGCGGAGGAGGAGCGCAAGCGUCGCGAUGAGGAGCAGCUGCGCGUCGAGGAGGAAAAGCGCAAAAAGCGGCAGGAGGAGGAGUGGAAGCGUCUCGGCUCAGAUGCGAUCCAGGACCUGCCGCCGGUGCCACCGCCGGUGGCGGAGGAGGGAGCGCUAGACAUGUGGUACCUUGACGACGAGACGUCUCAGCCUCCGCUGAGCACCGCCAGCCUCAAACCUGGGCGAAAGAUGGGCGCUCCUGCGGUCACCAUGAAGGCGUUGCGGGAGUUGGGUGUGGUCCUUUUCCGCGUCAGUAUGAGCGACUUCUCCGUGGUAAGGCAGAUCAUCAAGGAACGCGAAUACAAGCACACCGACGAGAUCAAAAUCUCGCAGACCGCCAAGGACGACAGCUUUCUCGAGCGGUGGUAUCAGGAACACUACACCGAGGACGAGCAGUUUCGCGUCGUGAUGGACGGCUCCUUCUUCCUGGAUAUCCGGUCCAAGCAAGACGAGUGGAUCCGGGUGCACCUGAAAGCAGGUGAUCUUGUCGUUCUACCUGCCGGCAUGUAUCACCGUGCCACCCUCGAUGAAGACGAUUACGUGGCGCUCUAUCGCGGCUUCCAAGACGCACCCCGCUUUGUACCCGUCAAGCGGUCCGACAGCCGUGCAGACUCCAACCAGGUUCGGCUGGCAUACUUGAUGAGUUUGAAGAAGGGCGACGUCGCCACGCAGAACGGAUUUCUGUGAUUCCGUGCGCCGUCUGUGUACCGUAUUUCUUCCCCUGUGUUCAUGUGCUUGAUGUAACGGUGAACGGCAUUCCUUCCGCACCUCCCUCUGGCUCCUUUCCCGUGCUGCUCGGCUGCGUUGGCGAUGGCGUUGUCGACGACGAAGCUGGUGGGAACAGCAUCGGCGUGCCGAACGCCUCUUACAUAUCAUCAUGUACAAACACAACAAAACGCAUGUCCCCAAGCACAACUGUUGUUGCGUCUUAUUCUCCUUUUUGAAUUCUUAUGUAGCCAGCCAUGCCGCCUCUUAUUUCGUGGCGGCAUUCCAGUACACCC